GAUGGUGAUUCCACAAAAAGUGAAUGUAUUUCAGCUCCUGCAGGUGGAGACCCACCAGGUAGCCAAUGCCUGGAAAGUGGGCUGAUAAAACAUGAAAGAAACCGUCCUGGUCUCUGCAAAUCAAAGAACAAGAAAGAGCUUAUCUUGCCUCGUCGUGCUUCAAAGCGACUAGCUGGAGUUGAAGUUGGUCCAGUUCCAGAACUGAAAACAAGUACUCGAACCCGUCGAGUUGCAAUUGAACAGUCAGGGGAGGGAGCACGCCAUACAACUGAAGGCCCGUCCCUUCCUGAACACAGUUCUGAUCAGAGUAAUGUUCAAAUUUCACGUCUUGUUUACAAUCUCUUGGUAUUGUCCUUUUGUAGAUAUAUUCCGUAUUCUUUCCUCUAUUUUUUAUGUGGGAAUGGGAUUUGAGACUCUGAAAAUUGGCAUGAAGUUAAUUUCUUUAUACAUUGUAAUGAUUUAGGAAGUUCGAUUGAUUUCCAAGGCCAACCCUUAUUCUGCAACACUAAGUUAAUAAUCUUUUAUCUGAUAUGAACUCGUGACAUGUUGCAGGUGAGGUGGGCACUGAAUCAGGCAGCUUAAAUCCUCCAGAAGCCAAAGGUUCGGACCAAACAGAACAGGACAGUGAUUCCACAAAUGGUGAAUGUAUUUCAGUUGCUGCAGGUGGAGACCUGCCAGGUAAGCAAUGCCUGGAAAGUGGGCUGAUAAAACAUGAAAGGAAAAAGACCCGUCUUGGCCUUUGCAAAUCAAAGAACAAGAUAGAGCUUAUGUUGCCUCGCCGUGCUUCAAAGCGACUAGCUGGAGUUGAAGUUGGUCCGGUUCCAGAACUGAAAACAAGUACUCGAGCAUGUCGAGUUGCAAUUAAACAGUCAGGGGAGGGAGUCCGCCAUACAACUGAAGGUUCUUCCCCUGGUGAUUUGCUCAGUUGUGCGUCCCAACAUCCUGAUUAUCUUGAGGUUGAGCCAGAAAAGCAUAUUCAAAAUGUGGAACGAGCAAUUAAUGGUGACAACAAGCAACGGUGUGCUUCUGUUUUCCCAUCGGGGAGCCAAAGUGGCCCAGAAGAGCAUGCAGGAAAACUUGAAACCGAUUAUAAGGCUGAAGAUAAACCAGGACUUCAACCAGACUUGCCUCUUGGGGAUUUCUUCACAGAUCCCUGCAUUGCAUUUGCAAUAGAGACUCUCACUGGAAUAGGUUUUGACAAUUCCAGGAGCAAUGGUGAGCAUGCUUCAGGGGACCUGGCUACUCCAAAAGGUCAUCCUGGGGACGUACAAGCAGACAAUAAGAGCAGCAGAAAGCAGGAAAGCGGCAACCUUUUUAUACCAGAAGAUGGAUGGAAAGUUGCAAAGGACGAUAACGCUAGACAGAAGUCCGGAUCCCCAACUGAGUUGCCUUUUGGGGGUUCAUGGCCCGACCCGUGCAUUGAAUUUGCUAUUAAAACUCUCACGGGUGCAAUCCCAGUAGACUACGAUCCCCAUAUCGAGGAGUACUUUCAGCAGCAACUAAGCUCAUCAAAAACUCAAGGAACAAGUGACUUGACCUUGAAAAAUGUUGGUCUAGAUAACUUCUGCCAAACGGAUGAUUUGUGCGAGCAAUUCUGUCAUCCGGAGGUCCCCAUGCUUAAGAAACAAGCGCUUUCUGAGCCUCGACUCACCAAGAGUGGAAGUUUACAUAGUUCCGGUGGAUCAGAUGUAAACCAAACGGGGAGGCAGAGACACUGACUUCAACCCUUGUACAGCUACUCCCCCUGCCUCCCUCCCUCCCUCUAACCCUUUUUACUUUUCUUGUGUCGUCUUUUAGGAAGAGACCGCAUUGGUGAAGUUUUCGCUGUUUGCAUCUCUGUGUACGUGUAACACUAGUGUCUGUAACUUUAGUACGAUGUAUUCAUGCUAUUUUUCCAUUAUGUUAGCUAAGUUUGUUCACUAAUUAUGUUUAAGAUGUAAACAUGUAUAGACUCCAUUAAUAAACCUGAGGCAAAGACCGUCAAGGAGAACAGAAGUUUUUAUUUUCAAAUUUUCGGAUCAUAAGUGUAGUAUAUGGAGUUUGGUUGACAUCCCGAAAAAUUCGAAGCCAAAGACGGAUAUUGACCGAAAAAUUCUAGGAAAAGUUUAAAUUUGGUGAUCAGUAGAGGUCUGAGCUUUUUGUUGCUGGGUUGUUUUUAUGUAUUUUCUUACUUAAGGACCCAGUUUUGUUGUUGUACUCGGAAUUAUUUGAUUGUCAUUGAUAACUGGAGAUUUUGGAAGUGUAAUAGUAAGGCUAAAAACGAUAAUUGAAAACUAAAUUCAUAGAAUCAAAAUAACAGACACUUUUGUAGGAAACACAGUUGCAUUCAACCAUGUAACCAAAUUCUUAAAAUACCUAGCUAUGAUACGAGGUUCUUACUUCUUAGGAGAGAAUGAUUUGUCUGUUGAAGGUUUUGUUAUGUUCUUUUUUUCACCGGAGCAAUUGUGCGCCUGCUUGUUGGUUUUUAUACAGUAAACAUUGUAGCGACUCUUACAAAAUUUCCUUCAUACUCUGUUUGUGUUUGGAAGAUACAUGUGCUACAAUUCCAAACACAAACCAGAGUAUGAAGGAAAAUUCUUUUGCAAGAGUUGCUAUAACGUCUACUGCACAAAAGACGACAAAGAGGAGCACAAUUGCUCCCGUGAAAAAGGUAAAAGAACAAAGCUCUCGACAAACAACUCAUCAUCUUCUAAGAAAGAAGAACCUCUACCUGGAUAUUUUAAGAAUUUGUUGCAUACUUGAAUGCAACCGUGUAUCCUACGAAGGUGGCUUUGUUAUUUUGAUUCUAUGAAUUUAGUUUUCACUUGUUGCUUAGAUUUCAUAGCUUUGAUAGCUCUUACAAGAAAUUAAGCAAACAAAUAGAAAAAGAAAACAAGAAAACAAGAAAUUAAGCUAACAAAUAGAAAAUAAAAAUUAAAAUAAAAUCAAAGCAUAAACAUUUAUAACUAGAGCAAUGAAAUGCAAAAUGAGAGAGCAAAUAAGAACAAGGUCCAUUAGGUAGAUAUAUAUUGGCACAUCCUGUGACAAUCCGUCCCUAGUUCUACGAUUUUAUAAAUUUUAAAAGUGUGAAUUUACGAAAAUGCUCUAGAGGAAGGUUUUGACUUUCGUUGAUCAACGUAUAGUGAGACAUACUAAAUAUUCUUUUAGCGUAUUUCUGAAGUACUCAACGAUACGAACGCGUAAGCGCAAGCAUAAGUGAAUUUGGAGUUACGGUUAAAGUUUUUACGGAGCUACGAACCCGAAAGUAUUUUGAAGAAAUAACUAUUUUAAUUAUAUUAUAUUAUUUUAUACUACAAAAUUAUUAGGCCACAUGUGUGUGGCUGGGAGGAAAAAAAGAGAGAAAGAAAUAGAAACUGUCGAAUGGCAGCAGGAGGAGGAAGAAGAAGAAGAAGAGAGGGAAUCGGGAAAGAGAAGAGGAGAUGAGGUGACUGACCAAUGAGGACCAAGAGAAAGGAGAGAAAGGAGAGGAACAUGGGGAAAUCCACCCAGCCAAACCGGGUCAUUUUGUGACCCGCUGCUUGACCCUACUACAGAAGUGAUUUCCGACGCCUUUUCAGACGAUUUCUCCAACGAUUAGAAGCCACACACCACCUGGAAUUGACCUAGCGCUCCUUCCUCUUCCAAUCUCAUAAAAAAACCGAGUUAAAUGAGUUUGAUUUCGGGAUAAACUCACCGGCGGGUUCAUGGGGUUACGGCUCAAAUUCCUCUAUUUUUGAAGUUAGUACAGUCGACCACCACCAUCAACAUACUCCUUUUGAGGUCCGGAACAAAGCCCAAACAACUAUAGGGGCGGCGGAGCACCGGAGGUGAUGGAUCGAAGCCACCAAUUUCUAAGGUUUCCGACAGGUUUUAGUGAAAUUGAGGCUUUUCCGGCCAAAUUGGACCUGGCGACAUGUAUAAAUCUUUCUCUACUCAUUGAGAUCUUCAUUGUGGCAAAAUUUGGAAAUUUUUAGAAAUAGUUGGAUUUUUCGGCGAGUCGGGGCAGCCGGCCGUCGUGUACGGCGGUGUGUGGCGGCGACGCAUGGGCUGAGGCAUCCCCUGACCUUCCUAGAUUAAAUUUGAUUCUCUAAUUCUGUAUGUGUAGUACGAUUGACGAAUUUCCAUCAUUUGAACCUAGUUCCAUUAAGGUCCGUCACUUGACCAUUUUAUGAAUCGAUAAUUCGAUCGUUGGAUCGUCACCAAACUUUAGUACGUUAUUAUAUGUAAUAUUUGAGGACCAUAGAAACUUACGGAUUGAGAAUCUGACGUAUGGAUCUUCUCGAAUUGGAUAUGUAAGUUCGUAAAAUAAAAUGUUGAUCGCCACUUGAAUUGGCAAUUGGCGGAGAUCCAACUGUUGGAUCGUAAUGAAACUUUAGUAUGAUGUUUUAGAAGCACAAUGUGGAUCUUUGGAAGUACGGACCAGAAAUCCGAGAUGCGGAUCUUCCGGAUUGAGUUACGUAGCAGAGUUUUCGUAUCGACGAGGAUUCGUGGCAAGUCUUGGUAUUGGAGAUUACCUUCGAUGGUAUGCUUUUCAAUCCACUCUACUGUACUUUACUUAUGCUAUGACGCCACAUGUGAAAUGGGUUCAUUCCCGCUCACAACGCACUCUCGUAUUUAGGCACCUUUAGGUUUAAAUUUAUUCACAUUUUCCAUAUCACUACAUUUUAUGGUUUCGUCACCUUCUAGGUGUCGGCCAACACAACUCGAUUUAGAGCCUUAGUGGACAAUCUGGGUCAGGAUGUGUCACAUCCAAAUGCAAAAGACAUAACUCUUCUUGCAGUCUGCAUGACUUUGGUAGGUAAGAAAUUUUGUAAGGAAGAAUAGCAGCCACACAAGAGUUUGAAUGAAACUAACCAUUUGACUCAAAGCACACCUUUUUCAUGAUUUUAUGGAAGAAAAUAAAAAAGCAUCACACAUUACUGCAAACAUGUAUAUAUAUGGCUCGUUUGAAAGUGUUUUUAAAAUAACUAAAAACCGUUUUUAUGAAAGUGCUUUUGGAAUCAAUCAUUAGGAAAAAUGCUAGUGUAUCAUGAAAAAUCAUUUGAAGUGCUUUUUGCAAAAACGCAUAAUUGGUGCUUCUUGCAAGAAGCACUUCAAGUCACUUUGGAGCCCAAAACACUUUCACUAAAAGUGUUUUUAGUUAUUUUAAAAACACUUCCAAACGAACCCAAACUCAACAGACUAAACACUACUAGGUUUCUUUGUCAAGGUUUCUUUUCUUUCAACCAACAAAUAAAUCUAGACAUGUACAAGUAUCCACUUAUAAGUCGUAUGAAGGAUCUCCAUAGCGGACUUUCUUCUCGUAGGCAAUCGCCCUAGAGCACCUAUAAUUGGCCACUUGGACAUGUUAGUUCAUUAUGUUAGUCAAGAUAUCAUUUCACCUCAACAGUCAUAUUACGAUAUGUGUCGUUACAAUUAAACGAGAUAUGUGAACAUUGUAAAACAAAAACAUUUAGAUGAAAUUAACAACAGAUAAACAAAAAAUUUAGGCGUUUUAUGUGCGUAUUUAAGUAAUUCCUUCUCAAUGAGCUUGGAAACCCACGAAUUUGUAUCUGAUCAUUCGACAUAAUUCGAAGUUCGCAGCGAAGGAAUUGUCACAAAGUUGAAAACUUUCAUGUGGAGCUCGAAUGAUACAUAAACAAAACAAAAACUUUUUUUUUUUUUCUGUCCAAAUCCAAAACUCAAGACUUUCUUGCUCUCCCUUCUUCUCUUAUCAUAUUGGUGAUCUUGAUCAUAAUGUUGAGGAUUUCUUGGUCUGCCUUCAUUUAUCAUAUUAAUUUUUAGCCGUUAGAUCUUUCACCCAACAAUCAAGAUUUAAUGGCUCAAAUCCCCCAAAAUGAAAAAGAAAGGAAGAAGCCAAGUUAUUUUGCUUUGAGGAUAUGUCCCCCAAAAUGGGAUAUGGCCACACUGAACAUCGCCGGAGAAGAUUGAAAACCAGAUGUUUUCGGUUUCGGCUAAAAAUUUUCCCAGUUUAGCGCAGAAGAAAUGUCAUGAAUUUUUAUUUUCUCAAGCUCCAUUCUAGAAAAUCGUCUCUUAACAAAAAGGUGGAAAAUUUGUUGCAUAUAUAAACUCUCCAUUGAGCUUCCAUUGUAAAACAAAAAAAAAAGGAUACAACGCAUAAAAGUGACAGAAGUAAAUAAUACAUAAGAAGAAACAUAACAACUUUUUUACAACUGCAAAGUAGGCACGACCCAAUAUGGAGGUUGCAUGGUCUUCUCCAAAAGUCUCUUAGCCUCUUGGGUGUAAGCCUGCGAAAAGCUUCGACUUUCAAUGUUGUACACGCCAUAAUCAUCAUAUAUGCGGUUCUUUGGAUAACUGUUGAUACGAUCAAAAUCAUAGUUGAAGUAUAUGCAAUUUGGCAGACAUCCUGAAAAAUUCAAGGCCUUGACAGAUAUCGAAAAGUUAUCGCCCAAAAAUAGAGCAACAUCACCUAAGGUUUCUGUCUCAAUCCACUUGUACUUGUCAAAAUCCAAUUUAAAUAUCCUAACUUCCUUUGUCCAACGACCACCAUGAUCAAAUUCAACAACCCUUUGAACCAUCAACCAUUCGUUAUCAUCUAAAACCACGAUAUAUGUCUUUACUUCGUAUUCGAAAUCUUCCAAGGUAUCGCCAGCAACCAAUUGUUUAUUAGAGAUGGAUUGAUCAGUAGUAAUAUCAAAAGAAAAAAGUCUUCCCAUUUGUUCAACAACAUAAAACUUAUCUCCAACAUGAACAACAUCUUGGAGAGAGCUAAAUUUUUCAUCAACAAUGUAAGUCCAUGAUGAAUCUUUGUUGAGUCUAAUGAAAGCCAAAUCAUGACCAGUUGGCUCAUAUAUGACCAUAACAAUGCAUUUAUCGGCCUCUAAUAUUGGAUCUGCUGACAAUGUCGCCUUAUUUACAAACUCAGCCUUUACCCGGUCAAGCAGACGAUCUGGACAAGCUAGAGGAGGAAGAUGGAUGAUGGAAUCUGCUCUCUUUUGCCUCCCUUUCACCCUUAAAAACGGAUUUAUAAGAGUCACUACUAAAUCCAUAUUCAUAGCUAUUAACCAUCCUUUUGAAGAACCACAGAGUCGCUUCUUCGGAAAUUUCAGCUGCAAACCAAGAACCUGGUCUUCCAUGGGGUUGUAUAAAUUCCACUCGGGUUUUUUAGGAGUUUGGAUCAAGAGUAGCGGAGGAUUAUGACGACAACUUGACAUCUCGUCAAAUUUUCUUUUAUUAUCUUUUGCAACGCAAUACCAUGGCAUACAAACAACACUGAAUCGAAUAUAAUCUAACCGUGACACUAAGUUCUCUAAAAUUGAAUCCAAAAGAUGCAUAGGAAGAUUUGCCCAAUCUGGCAGGAAGAAAAAUUAUAUAUGUUAAAUCACAUAAAAUUGCAGACAUAAAUAUAGAUGUUUUAUGCACGGGACAAACCACAUCUUUUUUACUUUCAAAGAAAAACCCUAUUUCUUUUAUUUCAAGAUAUAAAUAGUAUGUAUAUAUGAAACACCGUCAAGGUAGUCAGGCACUUGGAAAACAAAUCAGUCACAAACAGAGAACGACGACUAAAAGUUGACCAUAAAUUUAGAAUGCUUUAACCCUAAACACCGAUAUUUAAUAUCUAAAAACUGAUAUGUAUCUAAAGUAGGAUAUCAUGAUAUAACAAGGUAAAAAAAUGUACAAAAUAAAGGGAAUUAUGAAGAGAAAACACACCUGAUGCCAUGAUUUCAAAACUGUGAACAAGUUUUUCUUGCGCAGAAGAUUAAUUGUAAAUAAUUGACUAAUAGUCCCUAGUUAUACAUCCCGGCGUGUAUAAUCCAUAAACUGAGUGAGUAGCAGGACUACAAGGAUGAUAAGGAUUACAAACAAAAUGGUCUUCAAUAUGAAUUAUGAAACUAAUUGCCGACUGGUCUUCUAUAAGAAUUAGGAUUUGUUUUCUUGUUUCAGUUUCUUGUGCUUAGACACUUUAUUACUUUUCCCUUGUAGACCAUGAAAAGUGUGUGAUGCUCCUAAGUUCACACUUCACAUGCUUUGAGUUUCUAUAACUAAAUUCAUGCUUUGAGGGUGAGCCUUUGUGCAAAGGUUGCUCAUUUGUGACCGAAAGGUCACAGGUUCGAGUCAUGGAAACAAUGUCUUUGUAAAGCAAGGGUAAACUCGUACAAGUUUCUUUUCUUCUAACCAACAAAUAAUUAUAGACAAACAUAAUGGACUAAACUCGUACAAGUAUCGACUUAUAAGUUGUACGUCAACGAGAAGGAUCUCCAUACCUGACUUUCUUCUCGUGGGCAAUCGCCCUUGAGCACCUAUAAUUGGCCACUUGGACGUGUUGUAGUGCAUUAUGUUAGUCUAGAUAUUGGUCCACCUCAAAAGUCAUAUCAACGAUAUGCGUCGUUAUAAUUAAACGACAUAGGUAAACAUUGUAAAACAAAAAAAUUUAGAUGAAAUUAACGAAAUGACUGAAAACUUACUGGCAAUUACUGAGCUCAGUUGAAAAGUUACAUGCUCCAGGCGAGGCGGGCACUGAAUUAGGCAGCUUAAAUCCUUCAGAAGCCAAAGGUUUAGAACAAAAUGAACAGGAUGGUGAUUCCAAAAAUAUUGAAUGUAUUUCAGCUCCUGCAGGUGGAGACCCGCCGGGUAACCAAUGCCUGGAAAGUGGGCUGAUAAAACAUGAAAGAAACCGUCCCGGCGUCUGCAAAUCAAAGAACAAGAAAGAGCUUAUCUUGCCUCGCCGUGCUUCAAAGCGACUAGCUGGAGUUGAAGUUGGUCCAGUUCCAGAACUGAAAACAAGUACUCGUGCAUGUCGAGUUGCAAUUAAACAGUCAGGGGAUGGAGUACGCCAUAAAACUGAAGGUUCUUCCCCUGGUGAUUUGCCCAGUUGCGGAUCCCAACAGCCUGAUUAUCUUGAGGUUGAGCCAGAAAAGAGCAUACAAAAUGUGGAACGAGCAAUUAAUGGUGCGAGAAGCAAAGGUGUGCUUCUGUUUUCCCAUUGGGGGGCCGAAGUAGCCCAAAAGAGCAUGGAGGAAAACUUGAAACCAAUGAUAAGGCUGAAGAGAAGCCAGGACUUCAACCAGACUUGCCUCUUGCGGAUUUCUUCACAGAUCCCUGCAUUGCAUUUACAAUACUCUCACUGGAAUAGGUUUUGACAAUUCCGGGAGCAAUGGUGAGCAUUCUUCAGGGGACCUGG
rnacentral:lncRNA from 1 species